UACGAAGGGGGCUAGCGUUGCUCGGAAUCACUGGGCGUAAAGCGCACGUAGGCGGACUCUUAAGUCGGUGGUGAAAUCCUGGAGCUCAACUCCAGAACUGCCUUCGAUACUGAGAGUCUCGAGUCCGGAAGAGGAGAGUGGAAUUCCUGGUGUAGCGGUGAAAUGCGCAGAUAUCAGGAAGAACACCCGUGGCGAAGGCGGCUCUCUGGGACGGUACUGACGCUGAGACGCGAAAGCGUGGGGAGCGAACAGG
rnacentral:rRNA from 1 species